rnacentral:rRNA from 1 species
GACAGGAGGUGCCAAGCGUUAGGCGGAAUCACUGGGCUUAAAGCGUGUGUAGGCGGGUUUGUAAGUACCUUGUGAAAUCCCCACGGCUUAACCGUGGAACUGCUGGGUAUACUGCGAAUCUUGAGCGGUCUAGGGGUUGCCGGAACAAACGGUGGAGCGGUGAAAUGCGUAGAUAUCGUUGGAACGCCAAUGGUGAAAACAGGCAACUGGGGACAUGCUGACGCUGGAGACACGAAAGCCAGGGGAGCGAACGGG